rnacentral:misc_RNA from 1 species
UCCCCUCUAUGUUUAGCCCCUUGUGGGUAAUAAACAAAUAUAUACUGGUAUGUGUGUGUUCGUGCAUUGACGUUGUUUACAUUUCGUACAUCGACGAAAUAUGUGAAAACUUGUUAAUCUUGGGAAAGGACAUAUUUUGAAAACAUGAAUUUAAUAUUGACUAAUAAUAAAGGGGUGGAACUGAACCCGUGUGUGUGUUAAUAAUGACUCACCCUGUGUGGGAAGAAGCUUACUUCCCUCAUUACUGUGUGGACGGGUUCUUCUUGUGACGCCUUUGUAUACCAACGUCGUGAAUUAUUGAAGCACAGCUACCAGACAUGGACAUUAAAAAAAUCAAGGAGAAAAUUGAAUCUGGGGACAUCGAAGGUGCGAAAAGCAUGAUAGAAAGCCGUUCAGACAGAAUUAACCUAAGAGAUUCAAACGGUAAAACUUAUCUGAUGGCUGCUUCUGCAGAGGGCAACAUAGUUUUAAUAAACUUGUUAAUAGAUGCUGGAGCAGAUUUGGACAAGAGAGACACAAGGGGUCGGACAGCUUUUUAUCAUGCUGUGUUUGGGUAAGUUCAGAAUUACCUAAAAUCUCCAGAUCUGUUUUUGUUUCUCGAUUUCUUCCAAUUUCAGACAGGUUAAAUAUCCAAAGAUGCCAUAGUAGUAGCAGUGGAACAACAGGAUGACAACAUGACAACAGUAACCAACAACAACUU